GGCCAGGCCCUGAGCGACGUCGGUUCCCGAACUCCGCCAGGUCCGGAAGGAAGCAACGGUAGGGAUAUCCGGCGGGUGCUUCAGCCGGCCUGGCUUUU
rnacentral:SRP_RNA from 1 species